CGCUAUCAUCCUACGGGAGGCAGCAGUGGGGAAUAUUGCACAAUGGGCGCAAGCCUGAUGCAGCCAUGCCGCGUGUGUGAAGAAGGCCUUCGGGUUGUAAAGCACUUUCAGCAGUGAGGAAGGCGGAGUCGUUAAUAGCGGCCUCGUUUGACGUUAGCUGCAGAAGAAGCACCGGCUAACUCCGUGCCAGCAGCCGCGGUAAUACGGAGGGUGCGAGCGUUAAUCGGAAUUACUGGGCGUAAAGCGCAUGCAGGUGGUUUGUUAAGUCAGAUGUGAAAGCCCGGGGCUCAACCUCGGAAUAGCAUUUGAAACUGGCAGACUAGAGUACUGUAGAGGGGGUAGAAUUUCAGGUGUAGCGGUGAAAUGCGUAGAGAUCUGAAGGAAUACCGGUGGCGAAGGCGGCCCCCUGGACAGAUACUGACACUCAGAUGCGAAAGCGUGGGGAGCAAACAGGAUUAGAUACCCUGGUAG
rnacentral:rRNA from 1 species